rnacentral:rRNA from 1 species
GACGAACGCUGGCGGCGUGCCUAAUACAUGCAAGUAGGACGCAGUUGCGAACGGGUGAGUAACGCGUAGGUAACUACCUAUUAGAGGGGGAUAACUAAUGGAAACUAUAGCCAAUACCGCAUAUUAGUCUAUGGAACUGCGUUGUAUUAGCUAGUAGGUUGGGUAAUGGCCUACCUAGGCAAAGAGACAUAGCCGACCUGAGAGGGUGAACGGCCACACUGGGACUGAGACACGGCCCAGACUCCUACGGGAGGCAGCAGUAGGGAAUCUUCGGCAAUGGGGGGAACCCUGACCAAGCAACGCCGCGUGAGUGAGGAAGGUUUUCGGAUCGUAAAGCUCUGUUGUUAAGGAAGCGGUACUUAACCAGAAAGGGACGGCUAACUACGUGCCAGCAGCCGCGGUAAUAC